UCUGCUAGGAAAAACUUCUAUAUCAGAGGCGUGAGUCAAAGAUAGGGUUGAGAGGUUUGCUAAUAAAGACUGAGAAAUGCUCUAAAUAGGACUUUUACUUUCUAAUGUGGAGAAAAAUGAAACAGAAACCCUAGCAGAACUGGGAACCAGACUGGGCGUGAAUAAAAGCUUCUUUCAAAAGAAAAAGCAACAAGGAAUGUAUCAGUCUGACUUCAUUUCUUGGAAGAAUUUCACGAACAGUCAAACAAGCCGAGAGCCUUUGAAAAAGCUGAAGAAGUGAUAAAUACCAGAGGUGACAUGGACAGUGGGAUUGAGAGAAUCCUCAACAAGUUUGCAGAUGACACCAAGCUGAGUGAUGCAGUUGACACGCUAGAGGAAAGGGAUGCCAUCCAGAGGGACCUUGAAACGUUUGAGAGGUGGGCCCAUGCCAAGCUCAUGAAGUUCAACAAGGCCAAGUGCAAUGUCAUGUACCUGGAAGAGUUAUUCCAAGUUCUUCAGACCUACUCACUGUCAAGCUAACUUCCUAGAAAGCAGCACAGUAUUUCCUUCAAGACUGGUUAUUCAGUGUGGUCCAUGAAAAGUAACACAGCUCCAUCACCCCAAGAGACUCUUGGAGAAAUUUAUUAUGCGGUACAGCUUGAUUCCAUUGUGUUCUGAAGACCAGCCUUCCUGCGGAGAAAUGUGGACCUUAGGCUGUAUUUUUAGAUCUGAUUUCUUGUAUGUGAGAAGAGGACCUGUCCAAGUUUCUGAUCAUCAAACCGUUUCUGACCAGAUCUGUUUCCGAUCAUUCUCCACACCUGGUCGCGAGCCCCACCUCUGGUUCACCAGCCAAACAGCAGAUUAAUAGAUUUCUCCCAGGCUCAUCACCCCUCUGGGGACUGUCUGUCUCCCAGCUGGAGGCUUGCUCCCUCGUUUAAGCACAUCUGGAAGAGUCAGUUUCCAAAUAAGGUCUGAGUGGCAGCCAAAACUUCAAAAGAUACAGGGGUUUUCAGUUACAAUUGAAAAGAUGUCUAAUGUCCUAAAGAACUAUCAGAAGUGACAGAAAUGCAAAAGUGGAAAGAGAAAUGUGACCAGUCACCCAUAAGAGAAAGAAUGAGAUCAAUGAUCUGAUAGUCUGUGCACCAAAAAAUAUACAGCUUCUCCAGAUACAGCAGUUGGUCUGAUGGCUUUCCCUUUAUAAACUCUGUGGUUCUGAAGGCUUCCAGUCCUCCUACAUCCUGUCAUUUUGUCCAAGGCUGAAUUUUCAUGAAGGUGCCCACACAUGAUACUCUUCUGAUACUUUUCCAGAUCAUUUGCACCACUUGGAGAAACAGAGCGAUAUUGACAGGCUGCUAUCAGGUCACCAUGGAGUCUUCUCUUCUCCAGGCUGAACAGCUCCAGCUCUCUCAGCCUGUCCUCACAGGGGAGGUGUUUCAUCCCUUCAACCAUUUUUGUGGCCCUCCUCUGGACCUGUUCCAACGUGUCUAUUUCUCUCCUGCACCAAGAACUCCACAUCUGGUCACAGCACUCCAGUGCUUUCAGCUGGUGGACAAAUGGAUCUGCAUACUGGUAAAGAUGAGAUAAAGUUGUAGAAGUGGUGGAUGAACCAAGCCAAAUCAUAGUCAUUAUUCUUCUGGACUGCAUAAAAAUGUUCAGGUAACUAAGUCAGAGGCCUGAGCAAUCUGUUGGGAUCUUGAUCUUAGAUGUCAUAGGAGCAGCAUCCCUUGCUCGAGACAGGUAUAUUAUCUGUUUGGAAAUCUACUUUGUGUUUACCCAACAAAAUUCUGCAAUCUCUUUACUCUGCAGUUAUAAACACCAUCACUGGAAUAAGAACUGACAUUUAUAAAUUCAUCAGUAAAUGUCUACAUUUCCUGUCCUACUCCCUUUCCUGGUCAGCAGAAAUGGUCAAUGCAGCAGUGCCUGACCAAAGACAGCCAUGGUCUCCACAGAUCCAAUCACAGCAGUCUGGGACUGGAGACUUAACUGCAGCUACUUAAGGAACAUACACAUGGAAGAACUGGCUGGCAAAUACAGAUUAGUACAAGCAUCAUCAUUUGUGUAGUAAAUAUAUCAAAGCAUUCCCUGUGUUCUCCAUAUCUACAAAAUCCUUGGAAUAAAAGUUAUAUGCUGUGUUUUGUACUUCUCUUGCCAAAGGUAGAAGCUUUGCUCCUUCCCACUCCAAUAGGAGAUUACAGAACAGAUAUUUCAUUACAUGUGUUACUUUUCUGUCUUUAAUAUCUCAUUUCAUCCUUCAUUUUUCUGUAAAGAGGAAAGAAGAAUUAGCAACAAAGCAGUCAUUGACUGUCAUGGGAAAAAUGUCUCCAAAUAAAUCGUUGCUUCAGAAAUUACAGGAAG
ensembl:lncRNA